GUAAGAAAAACCGUGAGGGCGUACUAUUACGCCCUGCGGCAUUUAGAGCCGCUUAGUAUAGGGCGUAAUAGUAUGCCCUCCGGUUUUAAGUGGUUAAUCUCUGUAUGUUCAGUUUCAAAAUCACUGAAGUGGUCAUGGUGCCUAGAGUAAAAAACUUUUACUGGAGUACCCUUUACAUCCUAAUGUAAUACUCAAGAUCGCUGUAAGUACAACUUUUAGGGUCAAUUUGUAUUAUAUUUUUAGUGCAUGCAGC